rnacentral:rRNA from 1 species
UACGAAGGGUGCAAGCGUUACUCGGAAUUACUGGGCGUAAAGCGUGCGUAGGCGGUUUGUUAAGUCCGUUGUGAAAGCCCUGGGCUCAACCUGGGAAUUGCAGUGGAUACUGGCGAGCUAGAGUGCGGUAGAGGAUGGUGGAAUUCCGUGGUGAGCGGUGAAAUGCGCGAUAUCAGGAGGAACACCAAUGGCGAAGGCAGCACUCUGGGACGUGACUGACGCUGAGACGCGAAAGCGUGGGGAGCAAACAGG